rnacentral:rRNA from 1 species
CUUAGCAUAUCAAUAAGCGGAGGAAAAGAAACUAACAAGGAUUCCCCUAGUAACUGCGAGUGAAGCGGGAAAAGCUCAAAUUUAAAAUCUGGUGGUCUUUGGCCAUCCGAGUUGUAAUUUAGAGAAGUGUCUUCCGCGCUGGACCGUGCACAAGUCUCCUGGAAUGGAGCGUCACAGAGGGUGAGAAUCCCGUCUUUGGCAUGGACAUACCAGGGCUUUUGUGAUGCGCUCUCGAAGAGUCGAGUUGUUUGGGAAUGCAGCUCAAAAUGGGUGGUGAACUCCAUCUAAAGCUAAAUAUUGGCGAGAGACCGAUAGCGAACAAGUACCGUGAGGGAAAGAUGAAAAGCACUUUGGAAAGAGAGUGAAACAGUACGUGAAAUUGUUGAAAGGGAAACGCUUGAAGUCAGUCGCGUCGACCGAGACUCAGCCUCGCCUCGGCUUGGUGUACUUCUCGGCUGACGGGUCAGCAUCAAUUUCGCCUCUUGGAUAAUGGCGAGGGAAAUGUGACACCUUUACGGUGUGUUAUAGUCUCUCGUCGCAUGCAAGGGUCGGGAUUGAGGAACUCAGCACGCGCCUUUGGGUGUCGGGGCUUUGCCCACGAUACGUGCUUAGGAUGUUGGCGUAAUGGCUUUAAACGACCCGUCUUGAAACACGGACCAAGGAGUCUAACAUGCCUGCGAGUGUUCGGGUGGAAAACCCGUGCGCGCAAUGAAAGUGAAAGUUGGGACCUCUGUCGUGGAGGGCACCGACGCCCGGACCAGACCUUCUGUGACGGCUCUGCGGUAAAGCAUGCAUGUUAGGACCCGAAAGAUGGUGAACUAUGCCUGAAUAGGGUGAAGCCAGAGGAAACUCUGGUGGAGGCUCGUAGCGAUUCUGACGUGCAAAUCGAUCGUCAAAUUUGGGUAUAGGGGCGAAAGACUAAUCGAACCAUCUAGUAGCUGGUUCCUGCCGAA